UCAGCCUCAGAAUUGCCGGAAUCAGGGAGGGAUUGACCCUGAAGAAUUCUGCAACAGUCUGAAACCCAAGAAAACAGUAGGCUGGCUUCCACUGUAUUACUGUCAUUAAGCCUAUCUAGUGUCCUGUAGUAAUAGUGAGGGAGGCUGCAAUGGACAAAAAGACCAGUAACUGUUCUUCAGGAGCAACUGGAUGGAAUCCACGCCUCAGAUCUGCGCAACCCUACUCCCUACUGAACUCCGGAGAAAACAAGACAGCUAUAAGCAUAGUGUACUUUCCAGGUAAAUGGUAAGAAACCUGCCUGACAGAGGUGAAGAAGAAAAGGCAAAGAAGAAGAAGAAAAAGAAGAAAAAAAGGGCUCUUCCAAACUCGUAAGCAAAAAUAUCUCCCCAGAUGCCAGAGUAUCACGUUUCCAGAGCCACAGCUGGAAAGAAGAUGAUUUACCCUUCAAGACGCUGCAAGGUUUUCUAAAAGCAGUGAAGAAAUAUGCUGUAAAGUAAAAGAAAUUCCUGUGAAAAUCAAAUCUGUAGGUUAUAGAUGUUACCACAUGCCUUAUGCUGUGGAAGCAUCUUAUGAAGAAUGGAAUGACUUAUUUGUGUGUGUGUGUGUGUGUGUGUGUGUGUGUGUGUGUGUGUGUGUGUGUGUGUGUGCAUGUGUGUGGUGUGUGUGCUGGGAUUAAGCCCCAAGCCUUAGAUCAGCUAGACAAAUACUCUAGCACUGAAUCACAUCACAUGCCACUUAGAUUUAAAGAUGGCAUUUAUGAUAUUAGUACAAAUCUACUCUCAGUAUGUAUUACUUGCUUUCCCAUUGCUCUGAUAAAAAAAAACCAUGACCAAAAGCAACUUAUAGACUAAGGAGUGACUGUGGCUUAUGUUUCCAGAGAGAUGAGUCCAUUAUGGAAGGAAAGCAUAGUGGCCAUCAGCAGGCACUGUGACCGCAGUAGGAAGCUGAGAGUUCACAUCCUCAACCACAAUCAUGAAGCACAGACAGCUAACUGGAAGUGGGGUGAGGUUAUAAACAGGGGGUUCUCAACCUGUUAGUUAUGAUCCCUUUGGGGGUCAAAUGACCUUUCACAGGGGUUGCCUAAGACCAUUGGAAAACACAGAUAUUUACAUUACAAUUCACAGCAAUAGCAAAAUUAUAGCUAUAAAAUAGCAAUG